rnacentral:lncRNA from 1 species
GGUCAGGAACCCCAUGCUCCCCAAAUUACGUGGAGAGACACCAAACUUAAAGAGAGUCAGAGAUGUGACACGGGACAGGCAACAAGUAAGGGAACGUGACCUGAUUGUCUGAACACAAGAGAAUCCCGGAUAUUUGUGGGGUCUCAUGGGGCCAUUGGCAGAGUUUGAGCCUAAAACAAGGAUAAAGCCCUAGAGAGGGGAUGGCUGCACAUGCUCAGACAGAGGCCGGAGCAGGAUUCCAGAAGCCAGCACCAGAGAGGCCUCAUGGAGGUGCCCCACACCCAGGAAUGGGGAUUCGGGAGAUUCUGCUUCUCACGAUGAAUGCUUUGGGCACAUGGCUCACAACCCAGCUCUGCCUCUGAAGAGUGGAAUCCUCACUGCCAGCUCAGCUACAUCAGUGAUGUUUCCUGAGCCCCAGAUUUUAUCUCAUCAGGAUUCCAGAGCAUUAGACAGAUGGCCUCAUGUCUGGCUUGGAGGUGUAAUUCACUCUCUCAGUGAAAACCAUUUCCUCCUCACCGUGGACUUGAUCCAGAGGCUGCGCCCAUCUCGCCCACGUCAACAGUCCUGUGUCCUUGGCGGAGGACAGUGCUCUCAUUCUGGGCCUUUCCCUUCUUCCUCAGCCAAAGCCCAGUCCCUGCACCUCUGCGCAGCUACAAACAGGCUGAGUUCCCCGCAGCAGGGAAGGCCCCCGUCGGCUGUCGUUCUCAGGGGUGAGGGGAACCCGACACUUUCUCUACAUUUUCCCCAGCGCAGCCAGCUCUGUCCCAGGCCUUGGGGGUUCCAGGGUUGAGGCAGAAUCCAGCCACCCCUAACCUACAGAGCCAAAACAGUCCUGAGUGAACCUGCAGAAAUGUGAAAGCUGGGCAUUUCUGGGCAUUCCCAAGAACAGUCUUCCUGUGAGAGGGCAUGAGUUGAUUUGGGACAGAAGGCACUCGGUGGCCCAGGAAGGCCGCAUUGGGCAGGGUUUGGGGGGAGCCUCGUGCUGAGUGGAAGGGGCUCACAGAGCCUCUCUGGUUGGGUGGGAUCAGCUGCUCCAGCCAGGAGCCACCUGGCCCAGCUUUGGGAGAUGUGGAGAAUGGAUUUCACAGUGGUUUAGAUGGGGCCAUGGCACUGAAACAGCUGCAGGAGGGGGCACAGCUGGCGCGGCCCCUACCCCUUCCUGCAGAGCUGCUCUGGAGGAAGGCCCCCUCCCCAGAGGGAGUGAGAGGGUCCCACUUGCUGUGGUUCCAGGGGCCAUGAGAUGGUACCGCUAAGCUAAACCCCUGAUUUUGAGUGCACCAGUUGGCCUUUAUUAAAAUAAAACCCCAUUGUCACUUAUUCCA